GAUGAACGCUGGCGGUCUGCUUAACACAUGCAAGUCGAACGGAAUCCUUCGGGAUUUAGUGGCGGACGGGUGAGUAACGCGUGAGAAUCUGCCUUCAGGUUCGGGACAACAGCUGGAAACGGCUGCUAAUACCGGAUGUGCCGAGAGGUGAAAGCUUUAGUGCCUGAAGAUGAGCUCGCGUCUGAUUAGCUAGUAGGAGUGGUAAUGGCACCCCUAGGCGACGAUCAGUAGCUGGUCUGAGAGGAUGAUCAGCCACACUGGGACUGAGACACGGCCCAGACUCCUACGGGAGGCAGAAGUGGGGAAUUUUCCGCAAUGGGCGCAAGCCUGACGGAGCAAGACCGCGUGAGGGAAGAAGGUCUGUGGAUUGUAAACCUCUUUUGAUGGGGAAGAAGACAGUGACGGUACCCAUCGAAUCAGCCUCGGCUAACUCCGUGCCAGCAGCCGCGGUAA
rnacentral:rRNA from 1 species